GAUGAACGCUGGCGGCGUGCCUAAUACAUGCAAGUCGAGCGAACUGAUUAGAAGCUUGCUUCUAUGACGUUAGCGGCGGACGGGUGAGUAACACGUGGGCAACCUGCCUGUAAGACUGGGAUAACUUCGGGAAACCGAAGCUAAUACCGGAUAGGAUCUUCCCCUCCAUGGGAGAUGAUUGAAAGAUGGUUUCGGCUAUCACUUACAGAUGGGCCUGCGGUGCAUUAGCUAGUUGGUGAGGUAACGGCUCACCAAGGCAACGAUGCAUAGCCGACCUGAGAGGGUGAUCGGCCACACUGGGACUGAGACACGGCCCAGACUCCUACGGGAGGCAGCAGUAGGGAAUCUUCCGCAAUGGACGAAAGUCUGACGGAGCAACGCCGCGUGAGUGAUGAAGGCUUUCGGGUCGUAAAACUCUGUUGUUAGGGAAGAACAAGUACGAGAGUAACUGCUCGUACCUUGACGGUACCUAACCAGAAAGCCACGGCUAACUACGUGCCAGCAGCCGCGGUAA
rnacentral:rRNA from 1 species